rnacentral:rRNA from 1 species
AGAGUUUGAUCAUGGCUCAGGACGAACGCUGGCGGCGUGCUUAACACAUGCAAGUGGAGCGACGAACCAGGGCUUGCCCUGGGGCAGAGCCGCGAACGGGUGAGUAACACGUGGGUAACCUGCCCAGAUGACCGGGACAACCCGAGGAAACUCGGGCUAAUACCGGAUGUGUUCACCUCACAUCAGUGAGAUGAGGAAAGGAAGCUUCGGCCUCCGCAUCUGGAUGGGCCCGCGGCCCAUUAGCUUGUUGGUGGGGUAAUGGCCUACCAAGGCGACGAUGGGUAGCUGUUCUGAGAGGAAGAUCAGCCACACUGGGACUGAGACACGGCCCAGACUCCUACGGGAGGCAGCAGUGGGGAAUCUUGCGCAAUGCGCGAAAGCGUGACGCAGCAACGCCGCGUGCGGGAAGACGGCCUUCGGGUUGUAAACCGCUUUCAGUUGGGACGAAGCUUCGCCGGUGAAUAGCCGGCCGGAGUGACGGUACCUUCAGAAGAAGCCCCGGCUAACUACGUGCCAGCAGCCGCGGUA